rnacentral:rRNA from 1 species
GGCGGACGGGUGAGUAACGCGUGGGCAACCUGCCUCACACUGGGGGAUAACACAGGGAAACUUGUGCUAAUACCGCAUAACAUCAUAAAAGGACAUCCUUUAAUGAUCAAAGGAGCAAUCCGGUGAGAGAUGGGCCCGCGUCCAAUUAGCUAGUUGGUGAUGUAACGGACCACCAAGGCGACGAUUGGUAGCCGAACUGAGAGGUUGAUCGGCCACAUUGGGACUGAGAUACGGCCCAGACUCCUACGGGAGGCAGCAGUGGGGAAUAUUGCGCAAUGGGGGGAACCCUGACGCAGCAACGCCGCGUGAAGGAUGAAGGUUUUCGGAUCGUAAACUUCUUUGAUGGGGGACGAAACAAAUGACGGUACCCCAAAAACAAGCCACGGCUAACUACGUGCCAGCAGCCGCGGUAAUACGUAGGUGGCGAGCGUUGUCCGGAAUUACUGGGUGUAAAGGGCGUGUAGGCGGGAAUGCAAGUCAG